GACGAACGCUGGCGGCGUGCUUAACACAUGCAAGUCGAACGGAAAGGCCCUGCUUUUGUGGGUGCUCGAGUGGCGAACGGGUGAGUAACAGGUGAGUAACCUGCCCUUGACUUUGGGAUAACUUCAGGAAACUGGGGCUAAUACCGGAUAGGAGCUCCUGCUGCAUGGUGGGGGUUGGAAAGUUUCGGCGGUUGGGGAUGGACUCGCGGCUUAUCAGCUUGUUGGUGGGGUAGUGGCUUACCAAGGCUUUGACGGGUAGCCGGCCUGAGAGGGUGACCGGCCACAUUGGGACUGAGAUACGGCCCAGACUCCUACGGGAGGCAGCAGUGGGGAAUAUUGCACAAUGGGCGGAAGCCUGAUGCAGCAACGCCGCGUGCGGGAUGACGGCCUUCGGGUUGUAAACCGCUUUCGCCUGUGACGAAGCGUGAGUGACGGUAAUGGGUAAAGAAGCACCGGCUAACUACGUG
rnacentral:rRNA from 1 species